UACGAAGGGUGCAAACGUUGCUCGGAAUUAUUGGGCGUAAAGAGCUCGUAGGCGGUGUGUCACGUCGGCCGUGAAAACCUGCAGCUUAACUGUGGGCGUGCGGUCGAUACGGGCAUCACUGGAGUUCGGCAGGGGAGACUGGAAUUCCUGGUGUAGCGGUGAAAUGCGCAGAUAUCAGGAGGAACACCGGUGGCGAAGGCGGGUCUCUGGGCCGAUACUGACGCUGAGGAGCGAAAGCGUGGGGAGCAAACAGG
rnacentral:rRNA from 1 species